GAUGAACGCUGGCGGCGUGCUUAACACAUGCAAGUCGAACGGUGAAGGCGGAGCUUGCUCUGCUGGAUCAGUGGCGAACGGGUGAGUAACACGUGAGCAAUCUGCCCCUGACUCUGGGAUAAGCGCUGGAAACGGCGUCUAAUACUGGAUACGAGCUGCGAAGGCAUCUUCAGCAGCUGGAAAGAACUUCGGUCAGGGAUGAGCUCGCGGCCUAUCAGCUUGUUAGUGAGGUAACGGCUGACCAAGGCUACGACGGGUAGCCGGCCUGAGAGGGUGACCAGCGACACUGGGACUAAGACACGGACCAGACGGCUACGGGAGGCAGCAGUGGAGAAUAUGGCACAAUGGGCGAAAGCCUGAUGCAGCAGCGCCGCGUGAGGGACGACGGCCUUCGGGGGGUAAACAUCUGUUAGCAGGGAAGAAGCGAAAGUGACGGUACCUGCAGAAAAAGCGCCGGCUAACUACGUG
rnacentral:rRNA from 1 species